UCUUCAUUUUUGCUCUCUCCUUCUCCUACGGACCCUAGCAGCGGCAGCCAAUCCCUUUCUCUAAACCCUCUCUCCCUUACUCGGUCCCCGGUGCCGUCGCGUUCGCCGCCCUAGGUCUUUCCGGCAGCGGUUCCCUCUUUCUUUCCCUUUCCUCUUUUCUUCUCUUCCCGUUCCUUCUGCUGCCAGUUUCCUCUCUUUCUAAAAAAGCCUAGCCAUCGUCGUCUCCGUCACUCUAAAAACUGUAUCACCCGCUAUAUCUAUCCUAUACGUAUCACCCACCUCUCUGUCUCCAAUAAGAAAAACAUAUUUUUCUUUCUCUCUUUCUAAUAAUCCAUUGAAUCAGUAAUUCCUUGACACCAUGAGCAGCGCCAUUAGAGCCAGAAACUUUCGCCGCCGGGCCGAUGACAUCGAUGAUGAUGACAACGAUGAUAACAACACCCCCAACAUUGCCUCUGCCACCGUCACCGCCACAAAAAAACCCUCAUCUUCAAAGCCCACUGCAAAGAAGCCCCCAAAACUCCUAAGUUUCGCCGACGACGAAAAUGAAGAAGAAACAACCAAACCCUCCUCAAAUAGAAACAGAGAUAAGGAAAGGGAAAAACCCUUUUCCUCUCGGGUUUCCAAACCCUUAUCUGCCCACAAAAUUACCUCCACAAAAGACUGCAAGACCCCUCCUACUUUACCUUCCAAUGUCCAACCCCAAGCUGGGACUUACACAAAAGAAGCAUUACUUGAGCUCCAAAAGAACAUGCGUACCCUCGCCGCCCCUUCAUCACGAGCUUCCUCUGUUUUAUCUGAGCCUAAGAUUGUCCUCAAAGGCCUUCUAAAACCCCAAUCCCAAAAUUUAAACUCUGAGCGAGAUAAUGAUCCUCCAGAGAAACUUCAGAAAGAUGACACAGAGUCUCAGUUGGCAACGAUGACAACUGGAAAAGGGGUGGAUUUGGAUUUUUCAGCUUUUCCCGACCAGGCAACUAUUGAUGCUAUUAAGGCCAAGAAGGACCGGGUUCGGAAGUCGUUUGCAAGGCCUGCGCCUGAUUAUAUAUCAUUGGAUAGGGGGAGCAAUCUUGGUGGUGCUAUGGAAGAAGAGUUGAGUGAUGAUGAGGAACCAGAGUUUCCAGGGCGGUUGUUUGGUGAAAGUGGGAAAAAGGGUGUGUUUGAGGUUGUUGAAGAGAGAGCAGUGGGUGUAGUUUUGAGGAAAGACGGGAUUCACGAUGAGGAUGAUGAUGAUGAGGAAGAGAAGAUGUGGGAAGAAGAGCAGUUUAGGAAAGGAUUGGGGAAGAGGAUGGAUGAUAGCUCUAAUCGGGUUGUUAGUAGUAAUAGUAAUAGUGGUGGAGUUGCCAUGGUUCAUAAUAUGCAGCAGCAACACCAACAAAGAUAUGGGUAUUCGACAAUGGGUUCAUAUAGUUCGAUGAUGCCCAGUGUUUCAGCAGCUCCCCCAUCAAGCAUUGUUGGAGCAGCUGGGGCUUCUCAAGGUUUAGAUGUUACGUCCAUAUCUCAACAAGCUGAGAUUGCAAAGAAAGCUUUACAAGAGAAUGUUAGGAGGCUUAAGGAAUCUCAUGACAGAACCAUUUCAUCAUUGACAAAGGCUGAUGAGAAUUUGUCAGCCUCACUUUUUAAUAUCACAGCUCUUGAAAAGUCUAUAUCUGCUGCUGGUGAGAAGUUCAUCUUUAUGCAAAAGCUUCGUGAUUUUGUUUCUGUUAUAUGUGAAUUUUUGCAGCAUAAAGCUCCCCUUAUAGAGGAACUUGAAGAGCACAUGCAAAAACUUAAUGAAGAACGUGCAUUAUCUGUCUUAGAAAGAAGAUCUGCAAAUAAUGAUGAUGAAAUGGUGGAGGUUGAAGCAGCUGUGAAAGCGGCUAUGUUGGUUUUCAGUGAACGUGGAAACAGUGCUGCUAUGAUUGAAGUUGCUGCAAAUGCAGCCCAGGCUUCAGCUGCUGCCGUUAGAGGACAAGUGAAUUUACCAGUGAAGCUAGAUGAAUUUGGUAGAGAUGUGAACCGGCAGAAACGUUUGGAUAUGGAACGGAGGGCUGGGGCUCGUCAACGCAGGAAAGCUCAAUUUGAUUCCAAGAGAUUAUCAUCCAUGGAAAUUGACAGUUCCUACCAGAAAAUAGAAGGAGAAUCGAGCACUGAUGAGAGUGAUAGUGAGAGUACAGCAUAUCAGUCAAACCGUGACAUGUUGCUUCAGACUGCAGAUGAAAUUUUCGGUGAUGCAUCUGAGGAAUAUUCCCAACUUUCUGAGGUUAAAGAGAGGUUUGAAAGAUGGAAGAAAGAUUAUUCUUCGAGCUACCGUGAUGCUUACAUGUCAUUAAGUAUUCCUGCUAUCUUCUCUCCAUUUGUAAGACUAGAGCUUCUUAAGUGGGACCCACUCCAUGUUGAUGAAGACUUUUCUGAUAUGAAAUGGCAUAAUUUGCUAUUCAAUUAUGGUUUUCCAGAAGAUGGAAGUUUCACCCCUGAUGAUGCUGAUGCUAACCUCGUUCCUGCCCUAGUGGAAAAGGUCGCACUUCCAGUGUUGCAUCAUGAAAUUUCCCAUUGCUGGGACAUGCUUAGCAUGCAAGAAACGAAGAAUGCUGUUUUUGCCACAAGUUUGAUUAUAGAUUAUGUUCCUGCUUCUAGUGAGGCUUUAGCAGAAUUAUUAGUUACUAUCCGCACUCGUCUAAGCGAAGCUGUUGCCGAUAUUAUGGUCCCAACAUGGAGCCCACUUGUGAUGAAGGCUGUGCCAAAUGCUGCACGAGUUGCUGCAUAUCGAUUUGGGAUGUCUGUUCGUUUGAUGAGAAAUAUCUGCUUGUGGAAGGAAAUCCUGGCAUUGCCAGUUUUAGAGAAGCUUGCUCUUGAUGAGCUUUUGUAUGGUAAAAUAUUGCCUCAUGUUCGAAAUAUUACUUCAGAUGUUCAUGAUGCUGUCACAAGAACAGAACGCAUUGUAGCUUCUUUAUCAGGGGUGUGGGCAGGCACAAAUGUCAUACAAGAUUCCAGUCACAAGUUGCAACCGCUGGUGGAUUAUGUGUUGUUGUUAGGAAAAACAUUGGAGAGAAGGCAUGCGUCUGGUGUGACUGAAAAUGAGACUGGUGGACUAGCUCGUCGGUUGAAGAAAAUGUUGGUUGAGCUUAAUGAGUAUGACAAUGCAAGGGAUAUAGCAGGGAGGUUCCAUCUCAAGGAAGCAUUAUGAAUGAUGCUGUGAAGUAUAUGUUUAUUGUUCAGUCACAUUUUUCUUCAAAAUGAUGCACUUUGCUUGGAUGCUGCUCAAAGCAAAUCAUCUGCCUUUUACCCUAGUGGUUAGAACUUGGAAUAUCAUCUCGGAAGCCUCAAGUUUGGUGUUAGGAUAGGCAGGAUGGGAGUCCACUGCAUGGACUUUGACAGUGGGUUUGAGUCAACGAUUUGAUUAUGGUAGAAAGCUGGACCAGGAACUAUAGUCUAUUAUGGGACUAGGCUUUUCAUAGUGAUGUCAUAUAGCUAUGCAUAAGGCCAUCAAUUGAACCCGGAGCCUAUAUCUGAGUAGGUUUCCGAAUUGGUGGAGACUGAUUCGGUAGUUGUGGUUGGUCUUGGUCUGUCACAUAACGAAGCACCUUCUGUAAAAUGCUGUUAACCAAUUGGUUUGGGACAGUUGUGUCAGUUUGAAUGUCCAACUAUCCCUCCAAGUGUGGAAAAUCUGAUGAGUUUGGCAGCUAA